GCUCGGCAGCCGGCAUUGGUGACCUGCAGGACACACCACACUAGUCAGUAUAAACAUAAACAAUAACACGACUUUGUCUUCUUCUUUCGACUUUAUGAGUAACGGUUGACUGUUGAUGAGAUUAAUUAAUAACAGAAGAAGCGAAGAAUUCAAUUACCUAUAGAUAGUACUUGCGUACUUGAUGUCACUUUUCGGUCGGACACAUAGGUUCUGUAAUUCAGUCUGGAGGUGAAUCUAAAUAUAUUGGUUUUACCGAGAAAUGGUUAUGAAGAGGGAAUAAAAGCACAGCAUCAUUCAACGGUGACAGAAAUUCAAGCGUUAGUUAGUAUCCGUCAGAGGUAACAUAAAUGUUUGAUAAAAAAAAUAAAGUACCUAUUUAUCUUUCAGUGUAUUUCAGAAAAAACUUCUUCUUAGCCGUUUUCAACCUCAAAGGUGUAGGCCUCCUUCAGUCUAUGCCACUCAUCUCGAUCUUGGGCUAUCUCUAUCCAUUUGCUACCGGAUGUUUUCCUUAUAUCGUCGGUCCAUCGCAUUUGUGGUCGACCACGAGGGCGUGUCUCACCAGAAAAAUUUACAGCAUGGUUAUAGGGGGAAAUUAAGAGAGAUGUUUGUUUUUUCUACUAACAGAGAUAAUAAUAAUUGAGUGCCAAAGUGCCGGCAACUUCUACUUACCCAAGUUUCACUGUAUAAGUUUUGAAAUAGAUGUCUCGUAUAUUUUCACUGUUAGUAAGUACUGUAUCACACCAGGCGACACACUAAUCCGUGACAAACGGCGUGGUACCUAUUUCUGAUUUGGAAAAUAACUGUCCACAACACAGAUUACAAAUCUAGUCCGAUGUAUCCUGAUACGCGCCGCCGCCGCCAUCACUACACGUAAUAGAUAAACUUUUUAAUUUAAAUGAUAUAUCCGCCCAGUUUCGUAAGAAUUAUGUUAUCAAAUAGUUUGAACACCAUGAUAAAGCAGAUUUGAAAUUGAUAAACCACACUUUGUUGUACUUAUUGGACUAUUAAGGCUUAAGGUUUAACUCUGUUUCUAUUAGGGUGUUGCAAAAAUUGCUUAGUAAGCAGAAAGAGCAAUAUACAAUGAUAUACAUUCUGUGUAAAAAGUAUCGGGAUUAAAUAAAUAAAACAC